rnacentral:misc_RNA from 1 species
GAUGAAGAACGUAGCGAAAUGCGAUAAGUAGUGUGAAUUGCAGAAUUCAGUGAAUCAUCGAAUCUUUGAACGCACAUUGCGCCCCCUGGUAUUCCGGGGGGCAUGCCUGUCCGAGCGUCAUUGCUGCCCUCAAGCACGGCUUGUGUGUUGGGCCUCCGUCCUCCUCCCGGGGGACGGGCCCGAAAGGCAGCGGCGGCACCGCGUCCGGUCCUCGAGCGUAUGGGGCUUCGUCACCCGCUCUUGUAGGCCCGGCCGGCGCUUGCCGACACAUCAAUCUUUUUUCCAGGUUGACCUCGGAUCAGGUAGGGAUACCCGCUGAACUUAAGCAUAUCAAUAAGCGGAGGA